AAGCAGCUGCAGGUUGAGGCAAGGCGUGCUGGAGGCAGGGUUGCUUGGCGCGUGUCCGCCUCUACUGCGAUGGAGCUUAGGCACAAAGAGCAAACCCUUGCGGGGCAUAUUUAGUGAGCGGACCUCGGAGGACGUGUUUUAGGUGUUUGGUAUUCGUGUGGCCUUUUCCUUUGUGUCCCGGCAGCUUCACGAACCUCCUGAGGUGUCAUAUAGAGUGCUGGGCCGUGGCAAGUACAGAACACAAAGAUGUCAUUGCAUAAGGCGUGUAUCAAAAGGGUUCCGCAUCAGGACAGACGGGGAGAACGGAGGGACUAUCAGCAGGCCCCAGUCCUGCAUAUGAUCUUUUGCUAGCCCUAAAACAGUUUUGUUUCCGAGUUCGAAGGUG
rnacentral:lncRNA from 1 species